CCUACGGGAGGCAGCAGUGAGGAAUAUUGGUCAAUGGACGAGAGUCUGAACCAGCCAAGUAGCGUGAAGGAUGACUGCCCUAUGGGUUGUAAACUUCUUUUAUAUGGGAAUAAAACAGGGUAUGCAUACCCUCUUGUAUGUACCAUAUGAAUAAGGAUCGGCUAACUCCGUUCCAGCAGCCGCGGUAAUACGGAGGAUCCGAGCGUUAUCCGGAUUUAUUGGGUUUAAAGGGAGCGUAGGUGGAUUGUUAAGUCAGUUGUGAAAGUUUGCGGCUCAACCGUAAAAUUGCAGUUGAUACUGGCAGUCUUGAGUACAGUAGAGGUGGGCGGAAUUCGUGGUGUAGCGGUGAAAUGCUUAGAGAUCACGAAGAACUCCGAUUGCGAAGGCAGCCCACUGGACUGCAACUGACACUGAUGCUCGAAAGUGUGGGUAGCAAACAGGAUUAGAUACCCUAGUAGUC
rnacentral:rRNA from 1 species